rnacentral:lncRNA from 1 species
GUCCCUAAGUGACCUCCUGCAGCGCUGCCUCCACUGCGGUUCCAGCGCAGCCUUGCACUGGAGCACUAAUGUGUGUCCCUGCGAGCCAGAGUGACCUUGCUGGGGGACUGGACCCACCGAGUGAUUCAGCAGAUCCCUACGAACCACGCAGGGAUCCAGGAGUCACCCAGGCAGUGGGAUCUGGCCUUGCCAGAAGCAUGAGGGACAAGGCUCCAGCCAUGUCUGCAUGUGUCACACACGGGCCACACAAACCCACAGUGUUCCUGUGGUUGCUUCUGUCUGCAGAGCAUCAGUGGGUCCCAGGACUUCCCCUUCCCACUGCUUGCUGGUUCACAAAGGCUGAUGCUUCUGGAAAAAGCUCUGCCUUGUGGCCUUUAAAAUAAAUAAAUAAAGCGGCGCUGCUGUGGAUUAGUCAUCCUUAUUUUUGAAGGAAGCUAUUUGCCAGCGCUGUCCGAAUCAGGCAUGUGCGUGUGAGAUGGGAACUCCAGAAGGCUGGUAACGUGCUCUGCUCGCUGCUCCUUGGUGCUCAGCCACCCAGGCUUCGUUGAGCUGCUCCUGGCAGGUGGAAAAUCUGACAGUCCAGCUUUCCAGACCUUUCCCUCCUUUUUUUUUCAGUGCUGGAAUAUGCAUUGGCAGGUGUGCAAAUGUGGAGACUGUAACAGCAGCAAGUGAGGAUGGAUGAGCUGUUUUCUGGGGUCACAUCCAACUCCAGAGAAGAAACCCUGGUGAAUUAUAAUUUUUUUCUUGUCUCUGGUAGAUUUUACUCUAAGCUCCGCUGUAUCUUGUGAGAAGACUGAGUUUGACCCUUUUGGCUACUAAAAAUGGUUCUGUUUUUAAACCUUGGUGCUGUUUCCCUUCCCUGUGGUCAUGCAGAAGAGCAAGCGGUGCAAUUAAACAGUACAGCGAAGGGCAGUUCCCUCCCCCUUUCCCUUUCAAAAAAUCCAGAGUUGUGUGUCUUGAACUGCUGCAUAGGCAGAAAACAUACAAAGCCCUUGUCAGCAUUGUGCUGAUGUGUGGCACGUUAAAAAAAAAUACACACAAAAGGGGUGGGGAGAGCGGGUGCCUCCAGGGAGCAAAACUGUGGGGCCCCUUUCCCUCCAAGCCCACAGACCUACGUGGGAUAGUCUAUUCCUCCUAAUUUUGCUCAGGCAAAAGCAGUGGAGGUCAGAGGGAGUGUUGAACAUCUUAAAUGGUAUUGAUGAAGAUCAGGGUCCCCUUGAAUUACAUUUUUUUUCUCUGUGAACUUGGUCCUGUGAGAUGCAGCUGGUUUAUUAUUCCAUUCCUCAGAGUCCUGCUCACGGGGAAGAAGGGAAACGCUUCCUUACUGGGUGUCAUUUCUUCUGUUGUGUUACAAAGGCAAUAACCAGAGACCUGGUGCUGGUCUCUGCCAGGUCACACAUGGCUUGGAGGCGCAGCUUCCCGCAGUCAUUAGUGCACAGGGAGUGUUGGGGGUCGUUAGCCACUCUUAAUGAGGAUAUUGCAUCAGGAUUCCAUGGAUGCUGCUGUCUGACCCGACCCUGGAGAAGCCCCUUAGGAGAAAUUAUUUCACUGACUGGUUGCUGCAGGGAUUUCUGGCACAGCUACAGCUUUAUCCUUCUUUUUGGCCAAAAAUAAGUGCAGGGUGGGGAUGAGGUGGCCAGGUCAGAUUUCAUACCCUGCUCCCUGUGGUAGAUGUGCGAACAAUGUGCCUAAAGCCUUGUUUGAAAUAAGCCAAGGUGGACAGGGAUUUGGAUUUUAUUCCCUCAUUAGGGCUGUGUUGGUUUGGAGAUACACCUUGUACUCUUCAUAGGCCUUUGCUGGCAGGGAAGUUUGGAUGAGCAAGAAGCUGCCUGUUGGGAUGAUUCCACAUUUUUCAGGCUGGCACACCCUGUGGGACUCUAAAUUACUUUCCUUUGGCAGUUUAGGAUAAACGACUGAGAAUUGCCUUGUGAGUGCUGAACUUUUACCCCUGAAGAGUUACUCGAGCUACAUCCAUGAUAUUUCCAAGCUAAACAAAACCUGAAUUUCCAGUGCCAAAAAGCGAUAAAAACCUCAACUCCUCCUCUGUUCAGGAGAGAACCGUGGCCUUUUAAGCUUUGCUCUUAGUCAAAGGAGUUAAAAGUUGCACUGUGAGAUUUGCAGAGGUGAAAAUAAAAGCCAAAGGCAGAUGAGGAACUUCUCCCAUGCCGUGUUGGAGGAGAGGCUUAGAGCGCAGCAGGUGUUGAUGCACAAAUAUUUCUCUUUGUGCUUUCUCUGGAGCGAAGGAGCAGUAACUCCACAGACAUGGGAUCACUCCUUUUCAUUUAAACACCCUCACGUUGCUGUGGUAUCAAAAUGGUGUUUGAUGAAACUAAAGCUCAGAUGGUGGUGGCUUGGUGUUUAUUUUGUGCUGGGUAUGCUGCUCAAUCCAAUGAGGAAUGUGGGAAGAGAAGCCUGUAGCUUGCAGGUUUAGACUGUGGGGCUUGUGCUAAAGCCUUGUCCUGUAACAUUUCCAGUGUAAUUUCUGAGAUUUUUUUUUUUUUUCUCCUGGGCAUUACGCACAGGUAAAAAUCUGGAUGUAGAGUUAAUGCAACAAUUAGGUGUUAAAAAUGGCAAAGUAUAGGAUUUGGUGAUGUAACCAGUGUAACCAGUCCUAGGGGAUUUAUAUCCUUUGCAGCUGUCCUGUUUGGGUAUCCAGUCACAUGGAACUGUCUUUUUUUAUGUUUGGUUUCUUUGGUUUUCCCUUAAAAUGUAAUAUUUUGCAGCCUGGAAGGCCAUAGUCCUGUCUAGCGAUGAAAGCCCUGUGUUUGGGGAGAACCCUUGUGAGGUGAGCAGGGUUGUACAGGAGUUUGGGGGCAAGGAGAAGCAGGGCAGGAACUGGCACUGUGAUAUUCCUGUGAUUGUUUCCCAACAACAGGCUAAAGAAAAAGUGUUAUUUCUAAUAUGUCUACCACACCAUAAGUGUGAGUAAACUCUUUUGCAGUCCUUUGUUGGCAUGUAGGUUUUGGUUGUGUGGUUUAACCAUCACACUGGGUUCUGCUGCUGAAGAAACCUCUGGUUCUUUGUAGAAGGAAUUUUAAAAGCAGAAAUGUGCUUUUAUGUAGAGAUAAUAAUGGGUUCAAUGUCAACUGAGGUCCAGGGCCCCCUGUAUACUGGGCUGUGGGAUGUGACUGGUGCUAAGCCACUGGCAAAAACGGUGGCAUUUCAUGGCAGCUCCUGUCCCUGUGGAUAAGAACACCACAGGGAAGAGCAUCAGAAAACAAAUUACUAAAUACUGCAUUUCAAAAACGUGAAGGGAGUUUUCCGCACAGAGUCAUUUCAUCAGGAAGAUUUGGAGCACUAACCCUCAAAAGAACUGAAAUCAAGAGCUUUAUUAAUAUAAAUCCUGUGCUUUGUGUUGGUUAAGGCUCCAGAACUCAGCUCUGUGCUCCAAGUGUUUUCAGCCCCUAAGCUGAUAGCCUCUGUCUUGGCAACAAAUGGGUCUAAAUAUCAAACAGCACCAAUUCUUUCUUGGAGAAAACGAGCAUAAAGCAGAAUGGGUAAGAUAUAAAAUUAGGCCAAUAAUUCAGGCUGGCUUAAAAAGGAGAUAAAAGCCUAGCUGGGAAUUUGAUAUUCAGUUGUCAUAGUGUUCUUUUCAUAAAUACUAUCAAUGAGUGAGGAAAACACGUAAAUACAUUUUAUCCUGACAAGAUGGUGGCUGGAACUGGCUGGCUCAAACAAAGGAACAAUCUGAGUGUUUUCUGGGGCUCUUUGCUGGGAAACAUCCUGCUUUUUUACAAAAAGCAAAGGAACCGGCUGUGCCCUGGUGGUGGGGAGAUCCCCAUGAAUCCCGGCUGAUGUAGCCAGGGAGAGGUGGAAUAUCCCCCUUUCCCAGCACGUCACACAGAGAUGUUGCUGAGCCAGACCUGAGGGUGGGAAGUUAUGUUCUGAGCCAACAGAGGUUGCUGUCCUUGUUCAGUAUCUAAUCUUUGCUUUUUGAAACGUUUGAUGAGCAGUCUCAGCAAUGUGUGGCAGCUCCACCGCUCGGGAAAGGUGCCGUGUUCAAAAAGGAUAAACCUGCCUUUUGAAGCAUUGUGUCUGCCCACUUCUAUUUAUUGGUUUUUCCUCCUCAAGGAGAGGCUGCUGUGUGGACCCCAAGGAUGUUUUCCACUUUUUCUGCCCUUUUUUUUCCCUUCAAACUGGAGAGCUGCUAACUUUAUUAGCUCCUUAUAUGGCAGCCUCAUUUUCUCACGCCUUUAAUGGCUCUCUUUUGAUCUGUCCUGUUCUUGCCUUGCUUUUCCUGACGUGGUGUUCAAGCUGAGAUGGGUUUAUAACCUGCUCCCUCACUAACAAAUGGCUUGGCACUUUGAUCGCCUCCAGGCACUGAUAAGAAACAUCCAAAUGUUUUAACUGUGGGGCUGGCUGAGUUGUCCAGAGAUAGCUGGGCUCUCAGCUACACCCUCCCAGGAGUAAUUUAAAUUGUUCCCUGCAGUGUGUAUCCCAAAGGCUGAGGGCCAUCGGGUCAUGGAGAACAGCUCAAGUCCCCUUGUGCUCAGCUGUUUGGCCCCCGGGAAGGGCAGCACAGCUGUGUCUUGUCCCUGGGUGCUCAUGGUAGGACACUGGGCUGGCACAAAUGUGUGUCUGUUCUGCAGACACAAGGAUGGUGCUGGUCCUUCGUCACAGCCCCUCUGGCCUGUGUUAUACCUGCUCUGCUCUCCAGCCUGGGUCUGUGUUCUGUAAAAUCUUCGGCUGAGCUGGGGGAUCUGGUUACAGCAGCAUCGCUGGUGCGGUUGCAACUAGGAACAGCUUCCCUGCAAAGCAUUUGAAGAGUAUCACCAUGGUCCAGGGCUUUGUUUUGCGUCACCAGCCGAGCUUUGUGCUCCUCUUCCAGCUGGCUGUUGUGUAAAUGGAACCUUCCUGGCACUCGUCUGAACCCUCUCCUGUCAACAGAGUCGAUGGCUUUGUUUGUGACAGCUCCCAGCCCCUGCAUGUCCUGUGAGAUGGCCGGGUGACAGCAGUGACUCCGUGUGAGAUUCCCUGGAAGGACCUGGGAGCUGCUGUGCUUUACUUGUGUCCCUCAGAGAUGCCACCCCAGCAGGAGAAAGAACGGUUGGGAUUGCAGUUGUAGCAAGUACACUCCAUCAGAGGGAGAAUUUAUCAUGGAAAAGUUGUUUGAUUUUUUGGCAGUUUUGGUUUGGGUUUUUCCUCUCCAAAAUGGAGAGCCUAUUAAAGGUAGAGACAUGUACAAACUGCUCCUUGGGCUCCCCACCAGGUAAAAUGGAAAGCUGAGCCCGGUUCCACACUGGAAGUGCUGGUGGAGCGUGUUGGCAUCGCAUUUUCUUUGCUCACGUGGCUCCAUCAUACGUUUUGAAUAAUA